UCAAAACCUGCCGCCUACCAUACGCCGCAGAUUGCGCCUAUAAAAGAAAGGAAUUGCUUCCUUCGUGCCGAGCAUACUACUCAUCUAGCUUCUGAACUUCAUUAGUCUUCUAAAUUACUGCCGCGCUCACACCUAGCAUGCCGUCAGCCCGUGCCUCGCCAUUGGCCACCGCCAGUCCCCCGGCGUGGCCCGUGGACUCUCCAUCACGGCCUUCUCCGACGGGGCCAACCGGUUGACAUUGCUGCGGCGGAUGGUGGUGUGCGCCAGCGCACAGGCACAGAAGCAUGCAGGCGGAGAACGGCUGUUCCGGCGACGCGCUGCGCAAGGCCACCAAAUUCCUCGAGGACCGCCUCGACCGCAACCCCGUCACACCCGUCAUGCUAAUGUCGGACACGCAACAGCAAAGCUCGAGGAAACGCGACGGUGACAACGCGCUUGACGCAGGUGAGGAUCCUCGGCCGACGACACGCCGGUUUGGUCGCCCCCUGCGUCCAAGCAGGAGCACCCACUGGAGUCCAGCGCUUCCGCGGAGCACGCCAUGCGUUCGCAAAGUGACUCGGCGGCCUGGUCAGCGCGUCAUGCAGGAGGUACCCCAUCUGGUGUAUGACGGAGGUAACACCGAUGGCGAGCUAGAGGUGCCGCGAGGUGAUCAGCUAACAGAAGGGGUACCGCGUGGUGUUCCUCAAGAGCGGGUAGGAGUUGGACGUGGACGAUGCAGAAGGUGAGAGGUCCUCCAGGAGGCCAGCGACCGCGGGGACACCGGCAAGGUGUGCUCCACUGCUGGCAGCCUGGUACUACAAGAGCGCUCGACCUCGAGAGCUGCUCUCCUCUUCUCUGCUCUCUGCAAUCUACUGAUCAGUAGUUUUUUUUUUUGGCCUAUAUUCGGUUUUCAGGUAGAGGUCGGAAGUAUGGUCGUGGGGAGCGCUGGUGAUGGAUCUUCCUGUCGUUGCCGGAUCGAGCGUGAGUGAGAGAGGAGGAAGAACUUGCGAGCGAGAGAGAGAUUUGUGCUGCCUAACUUCGCAGCUUUUUCUGCGUUCCUUCCUCUUCUUGUUAUUCUGUUACAGAGGCCACCCCCAGCUAGCUACCUCCCGGCGGGAUCGCCAUGAUCCGUGAUGGCCGCGCCAUCCCACGACCACAUCACACAGCGACCAAGUCCCACCAGAAGUAAAGCUAGGGUGAAAAAGAAAAACAAAGAGAAAACGUGAGGGUCGUGCGUAGUGCACACCACUCCUACUUCUACGUGCAUGCACCCGCUACAUCACCAAGCACACACACACACACACAUUAUUCAGCAGAAACUAAACUACGACAUGAACCUGACAGCUACCCAACUAGCUUAGUCUAACAAAUCUCCUCCUUAAGCUUGUUGGUCUCUGAUGAUUUCACUGACACCCAUCUUCUGCCUCAUCUCCACAAAGCGCACACGCCCAAGGGCUUUGGUCAGAAUGUCGGCAAGUUGCUGUUCAGUUCCAACAUGAUCAACCUCCACCUGUCCUUGCUCAAUGCAAUCUCUAAUGAAGUGGAACUUCACAUCGAUAUGCUUACUGCGAUCGUGAUGGACAGGGUUCUUCGCCAAGGCAAUGGCAGACUUUUUGUCGAUCAACAGUUUGAACUUUCUUGGAUCUACUCCCUUCAACUCUGAGAUCAGUCUGCUAAGCCAGAGACCCUGGCAAGUUGCUGCAGCAGCGGCCACAUACUCAGCCUCACAUGAGCUAAUCGCCACCACUUUCUGUUUCUGGGAGGUCCAGGUAAUGGGGUUCUUACCAAGAAAGAAGACAUGCCCCGAGGUGCUCUUGCGAUCUCCCACAUCUCCUGCAUGAUCGCUGUCACUGUAUCCCAAAAUAUCUCCACUCCCUCCACGCACAUAACGGCAUCCAUAGCUCAAAGUCCCUUGCACAUACCUGAGGAUUUGCUUCACAGUUGUCCAGUGUGUGUUUGUUGGUUUUUCCAUGAAUCUGCUCACAAUUCCAACAGCGUGUGUGAUAUCAGGCCUUGAGUGUACAAGAUAUCUCAGACUGCCAAUUAUGCUGCGGUAGAGGGAUGGAUCAAAGGGUUUUGCAUCAUCUUCCUUCCUCAGCUUCAGUAUGCACUCCAUGGGGGUGUUGCAACGAUUGCAGCCAGCCAUCCCAGCCUGUUCGAUGAUCUUCUCUGCAUAUCCUCGCUAGCACAAGGUAAUCUCUCCUUUGGACUGAGUUACUUCGAUCCCCAGGUAGUAAGUGAGGAGACCAAGGUCACUCAUCUUGAAGAGCUUCUGCAUUUGAUCUUUGAACUCUGCGAUAUGAGCUGAAUCAGUACCUGUGAUGAUUAGAUCAUCAACAUACACUCCCACGAGCAGAAAAGAUCGAGCAUCUCCGUGCCUGUACACUGCGUGCUCCAGAGGGCUUCUACUGAACCCUAGCGCGCACAAACUUUCAUCCAGUUUAGCAUGCCAGGAUUUGGGUGCCUGUCGCAAGCCGUGCAGAGCCUUGCUCAGUUUCAGCACCUCCCCCUCUCGCCCAGCGAUGACGUACCCCGGUGGCUGCACAACGUACACCUCUUCUGCCAGAUCGCCAUUCAAAAAGGCAGAUUUUACGUCCAUAUGAUGAACUUCCCAUCCGGAGUGCGCGGCGAGAGCGAGGAAGAUGCGCACGGUCUCCAUUCGCGCCACGGGUGCGAAGACCUCCUCAAAGUCCACGCCUUCCCGUUGUGCGUAGCCUUUUGCCACCAGUCUGGCUUUGUGCUUGACAAUGUUGCCCCCGGGGUCGCGUUUCACCUUAUAAACCCACUUGAGGCCGAUCGGCUUGUGCCCUUGAGGUAGGGAAGUGAGGUGCCAGGUGCCACUCUCCGCGAUCGCGUCCAUCUCUGCAUCCAUUGCUUGUUUCCAGGCCGUGCUGUCCAGGGCCUCAACAAUGUCACCUGGUUCCUCCGCACUGAGAAGGCAGUGCUCCAUGGCUUCCCUUACCGCAUCCCCUUCUGUUUCAUCGAGGAUGCACGAGACACGCCGGUAGCGGAUGUUGCCAGUGUCUACAUCACGACGGUUCUCAUCAUGGGUGAGCGGCGUGGCCCAACGGAUCUCACGACCCCCAUCAGGCGUCGCUGGCUCGGACUGUGGUGUCCUGAGCGCGCUUCCCCCAGACGUGGGCGUCCCGGACGACGAUGGCGACGCGAGCGCGCUCCCCCCAGGCGUGGACAUGCCCGAGGGCGAGCCACUCGACGCAGGCGUAGAGGGAGUCGUUGGAGAGUGCGGCGUGCCGGGGAGAGCGGGCGUGCCUCGGUCUACCUCAUGGACACCUUGGUCCGUGGUGUAAACCACGGUGAACGUCGACGGAGCAGUGUACACCUCCUCCGCGCCCGGCACACGCCACGCCCACGGCCUUGACUCUUCGAACACAACAUCCCUUGUCACCUGUACUUUCUUGCUUGCUAGGUUGUAGACGCGAUAAGCUUUGGAACCCUCUUCGUACCCGACGAAAACCAUGGGCGUGGAGCGGUCGCUGAGCUUGGUGAUGCCGGGGCCGACGCGCUUGACGUGGACUGUGCAGCCGAACGUGCGCAGAUGAUGCACUGUAGGCUUGCGUCCGUGCCACGCCUCAUACGGCGUGACCCCUUCCAGGCUGCGGGUCGGAGCGUGAUUGAGCACGUACACCGCUGUCCGCACUGCCUCAGCCCAGAAGAACGCCGGCAUCUCCAUGCUCUUCAGCAUGCAUCUCGCCAUCUCGACCACUGUUUGAUUGCGUCUCUCCACCACUCCGUUUUUCUGCCGCGAGUACGGAGCAGUGGUAUAGUGCUUGACGCCCAGCUCCUCACAAUACGCCCUGAAUUCACCGGAGUUGAACUCGCCGCCCCGGUCCGACCGGAACGCACGCAGUUUGCAGUUGCCAGUAGCCUCAGCCUGCACCUGCACCUUCUUGAAACGCUCAAAGGCUUCAUCCUUGGACCUCAGAAGCUCUACCCACAUGUAACGGCUAUAAUCAUCCACGAUCAGAAGGAAGUACUUGUUACCUCCCGGCGUGACUGGCUCGAUUGGGCUACAGAGGUCUGUAUGCACCAGCUCUAGCCCGCGCUCUGCGCGGUACGCGGAGCACUGCGGGAACGGCGUGCGAUGCUGCUUCCCAAGAGCACAUUUGUCGCAGUAUUGCUCGACCCGAUCAAUCGCGGGCAUUCCACGCACCAUCUGCUUCGAAGACAUGGCUCGGAGGGCGCAGAAGUGGAGGUGACCCAGGCGGGCGUGCCAACGCCAGGUCAGGUCGUCUCCUUGUGCCAGCAGGCAAGCUGGUGCAUCCAUGGUGAGUGCGCCAGUGUACAGACGGUUGCCAGACCGCCUGAUGCUUGCCAAUGUGCGGCGAGCUGGGUCUCUGAUGACCAUGAGCCCGUCCUGAAUGCUGAUGACGCAGCCCGCCUCGUCCAACUGGCCAACCGAGACGAUGUUCGUACGAAGACUCGGGAUGAAGAAGACGCCAGCGAGCGCACGCUGAUCACCACCCUGGCAGCGGAACACCACCGUGCCUCGUCCACGGAUGGCCACAACAGAGCCGUCGCCGAACCUCACCGUGCCGUGCACAUCCUCGUCGAGGGACGCGAAGACGCCCCUGUCACCCGUCACGUGGCUGCUUGCACCUGUGUCAAAGAACCACAGACCAUCCGGAGAGGGCACGGGCAUGACUUUUUCCUCAUUGAGAUACACCUCUUGGGGUGCCACGACCUGCGUAGCAUCGACGCUGGUGACCACGGCCAUGUACAGGCCCUGAUCGUGCUCCGCGUUGGCCUCCGCAAGGUUGGCCUGCUCCUGAUUGCCCUUCUGCUCCUGCUCGCGCAGCCACGUUCGGCACUUCUUCUUCCAAUGUCUUGGAAUACUGCAAUGAUGGCACUUGCCUUUCUUUUUCUUGCUGCCAGACCCGCCAGAGCCGCCCGCGCCCGUGCUCCCGGACGCGCCUUUGCCGCCACCGUGAGGCUUGGCCCUGGCGUGCCCCUUGUUCUUGCCAGUGUUGCCGCCGCCGCCUCCAGACGACGAGCCACUGCCGCCGCCCACCUUCUCGCGGGCCAGCCACUCCUCGUGAGUGAGCAAGAGACGCCCGGCAGGCUACGCGCCGUCGUCCAGAUCGUAGUGGUCCUCGCAUGCAGAGAAGCGACCGACGAGUUCCUCGAUCGUCAUGGCCUUCAGAUUGAGAAGUGACUCGAUCGCGAUCGGACGAUAACGGCGCGGCACCGCCCGGAGGAAUUUCUGCACGGCCUUGUGCUCGGUGACGGGGUCGCCGAACAACUCGAGAUCGGAGAUGAGGGCGGAGAGCCGCAGCCCGAAAUCCUCGAUGGACUCUCCGUCUUUGAACCGGAGAUCCUCGAAUUCUCGCCGGCGCACCUGCGCCUUAGCCUCGCGGGCGCGCGCGCUGCCCAUCCUCAUCGUCUUGAUCGUCUCCCAAGCCAUCUUGGCCGUGUCCUUGGCAGCCAGCACGCGCAGCAGCUCUGGCGGGACGCCGGUGAGGAUUAUCUGCAGCGCGCGCCGGUCGUCGUUCUCGUCGGCGCCGUCUUCAGUCACCGCGGUCCAGACGCGGGCGACCUGCAACUUGACUUGCAUGAGGAGCGCCCACUCUUGGUAAUUGGUGCGGGUGAGCAUCAGCGACGACCCCGACUCCUCGCGCACGACGCGCUCCACCACGCGGAUCUCGCCGCUGCCACUGCCAGUGAGGCGCGCGACCGGCGCCUUGGACGAAGGCGUCUGCGAUGGUGACCUAGCGCCGCCCUUGUUCUUCCCGUCUGACUCGUCGCCCGACAUCGCUGCCGCGGAUCAAACACCGCCGGCCACCGGAGGAUCGCACACCGCCGGACUCUGAUGCCAAUUGUCGUUGCCGGAUCGAGCGUGAGUGGGAGAGGAGGAAGAACUUGCGAGCGAGAGAGAGAUUUGCGCUGCCUAACUUCGCAGCUUUUUCUGCGUUCCUUCCUCUUUUUGUUAUUCUGUUACAGAGGCCACCCCCAGCUAGCUACCUCCCGGCGGGAUCGCCAUGAUUCGUGAUGGCCGCGCCAUCCCACGACCACAUCACACAGCGACCAAGUCCCACCAGGAGUAAAGCUAGGGUGAAAAAGAAAAACAAAGAGAAAACGUGAGGGUCGUGCGUAGUGCACACCACUCCUACUUCUACGUGCAUGCACCGGCUACAUCACCCAAGCACAAACACACAUUAUUCAGCAGAAACUAAACUACGACCUGAACCUGACAGCUACCCAACUAGCUUAGUCUAACACUUCCUUUGGCUGUCAGCAUCACGAUCGCGGUCGCCCAGGCCGCCAGCCCCCUGGAGAUCAGCUGUGUAGUCCCGGGAGUAGCGAGCUGCCAUCUCGCGGCACUAGCAUCCUGCCUGCCACCGGCACUAGCAUCCUGCCUGCCACCGGCACAUGCGGGGUCGGCCCGACCACUCCUCGGCGCUCACUAUCGACGGGUGGGCCGCGCCGCCACACCUCCCCAUCUGCGGACGCCGCUGCCCGUAACAACGAGGCCAGCAUCAUGGAUGGCCACGGAGCAGCCGAGAGGAACCAAUGGCAGUGUCCGAGUACGCGAGAGGUAUGCCUCAAGCCAAUGGUUAUUUAG
rnacentral:lncRNA from 1 species